AGCAAAUGCUUGAGAAAGAAAGCAGUGUUCAGAACAAGUAGAAUGGAAAGAAAUUAGGAAUGGGAGUAGUGCAGAGCAGCUUGAACUAAUGCACUGGGAAUGGAAAUGAGAGAACAGGCAAAACAUUUGAGAAAGUCGAUUUGAAAAGGCAGAUUGUUUAUGUUGAUCUUCAGGAAUUUUACUGGGAUAAUUAUCCAAAUAAAUUGCAAGCAUUCUAUCCAAAUGGGAAAUCUGGGAAGAAAGAGAAUAGAAUGAGGUACAUGUUAGAAAUGGAAAUGGCGAAGAGCUCUUUCUGAGAUGAAGAGAAUUCUCAAUGUCAAGAUUUGAACAAGAAGAGAAUGGAAUACACAAUAUGGACAUCCAUAAAAAUUCAUCAGAGAGCAUUUUACUACUGAGCUGCAAAGGGAAAAACUUAAAAUGGAUAUGAAAAGUGAAGAAAGUGAUCAUAGGAGAAAACCAUUUCAGAUAUCUGUGGAUAUCUCUCCA
rnacentral:lncRNA from 1 species